AUCUAAAUAGUUUAAUUAAAAUAUUAGUUUGUGGUACUGAAGAUAUAAAAUUUUAUUUUAGAUU
rnacentral:tRNA from 2 species